UCAGAGCCGUCUGGAGAGCCAUCGCGCCACGCGCGAUGCACCGAAGGAGCAAAUCCGCUGCGGGCGCAGCGGAUGAAUCUCUCAGGUACCGAGGACAGGGGGAGCGGC
rnacentral:ncRNA from 2 species